ensembl:snRNA U6 U6 spliceosomal RNA
AUGCUUGUUUCUGUAGCACAUAUACUAAAAUUGGAAUGAUACAGAGAAGAUUAGCAUGGCCCCUGCGCAGGAUGACGUGCAAAUUCGUGAAGCAUUCCAUAUUUUU